GAAAACGUUAACACUUACAAAGUCCUGACAGUGAAACUUUUACCAAAGACUACUGUCUACUCUGAGGGCUGCUACCUGCGAGGCUUCAACUGCAUAAAAAGACAGCCUUUGUCACCAAGUCUUUUUUCCCCAUCUCUCACCCAUAACCUGUCACCAUGCUCCAAGCCUCAAUUUCUUUCUAUAAAAUAUAAAAACUUUGUCAUUUGGCUCUUCUUUCAAUCUCAUAUUCAUAGACCUCUCGUGUCCAUGUGCACAUUGAUAAAUCUGUAUCCCUUUUCUCCUGUUAAUCUGUCUAUUGUCAAUUCAUUUCAGCAGACUCAGACUUCAACAUUCGGGGGAAAAUUUGAACUUCUCUACAGUUUUGGUAUCUUUGGCAGGAUUAUAGCAAAUCACUCUGCCCACACCCGAGGCUGCAGCCAGAAACCACGGAAACUGACAGACGCCAGCAAAAAGAAAGAAAAAGUUAAGAAAUUUCUUACCAGUAAUCCUCCUUGGGUUUCUGCCUUAGGACUAGUCAGGUGGAAUCCUACUCUGUCGCCAGGCUGGAGUAUAGUGGUGUGAUCUUGGCUCACUGCAACCUCUGCCUCCCAGGUUCAAGCGAUUCCCCUGCCUCAGGCUCUGGAGUAGCAGCAGCUGGGACUACAGGUCAUAUGAAAUGAUCUGGCCUUCAUGCACAGGUGGACAACCAAAAGUUUAGGAGCCCCAAGAAUAUAGCCAAACAGAAAUGGAGGUAAAGAGUGCCACUUCUUAGCAGCUUCUGAAACGUCAGGAUAUUUUGAGAACCUCAAGCAGAGAGGAAUUCAUCCAGAUACUACAGAUAUUGCAGGGAGAUUUCAAGGUCAUAUCUUUGACUUGGUUUCCUAGUCUUGAGAUGCUUUAAAAAGAAGUCUAAUUUGAGAUUUCUUAUAAAAAGUUUCAGCAAAGCAGACUUUAAAAAGAGCCUGUAAUACCAAUCACUAUUCUUGCUAAACCAUGUAAAUAAUCUGUAUAAAUAAACUAUGUAAAUAAUCACACCAAAGACUAACCUUAUUUUGCAACCAAAUUAGUCUUAACAUAGACAUCUUUGGUAGAAGUGGAGGUGGAAGUAGAGAAAAAAUCGUGUUUUAGAAUAAAAUUAUAGUACACCUGUUAUUAGAUUUUAGAUAAUUAUUUUUGAGAUUUUAUUUUUUAUUUGUUAUCUGGACUGAAUACCAAAUAUUUUUAAUUUCAUCGUGUAUCUGGCUAUAAAUCUCCAAAACAUCAUUUCCAUUUUUUUUUCAACCUUUUGACUUGGAAUCACUAAUAAUUAAAACUGUUUUUCCUGAGGUUCUACGAGCUAAAGUGAGUAUAGUUGAGAAACAGACUCCAGAGAAACCACCACAGUGGCCUGUGUUUAGACAACCUUUAUGACAUUUAAACAGCAAAGUAGAUAACUCUGUCAGAUUGCCAUUGAUUACCCUGGUCCAGCUGAAGUUGAUUCAGCCCAGAUUCAAAAAUCUUCUCCACUGGCUACCCUCCAAACUCAGAGACUAACUUAAAGAUUGCUGCAGACAUUAUUAACCUUUGUUUUUGUUUCCAAAUAAAAAUCUCUAGUAAAAUAUGUGUGUGCUUGCACCAUGUAGAGCAGUAGUCUCCAACAUUUUUGGCACCAGGGACCAAUUUUUGUGGAAGACAAUUUUUCCAUAGAUGGUGGGGGAGUGUGGUUUUGGGAUGAAACUGUUCCACCUCCGAUCAUCAAGUAUUAGAUUCUCAUAAGGAGCAUGCAACCUAGCUCCCUCACCUGCACAGUUCACAAUAAGGUUCAGGCUCCUAUAAGAAUCUAUUGCUGCCGCUGAUUUGACAAGUGGUUGAGCUCACGCAGUAAUGCUCACUCACUUGUGGCUCACCUCUUGCUGUGUGACCCAGUUCCUAAUAGGCCACAGACAGGUACUGAUCUGCAGCCCAGGGGUUGGGGAUCUCUGACAUAGAGCCUUCACCUUGAAAAAGUACAUCUGCAGUGUUACCUCCUGAAAUAAGACAUAAUUAUUUAACUUAACUGACUUAUUCUAGGACUAAGAUACUGAUUCAAGAAGAUGUGGUGCAGUGUACUCAAUAUUUUUCCAUUCUGCUUGUUCCAAUCUAUGUUUUCUUCCCCUCUGCCAAUCUCUUUUCUUAAAUUUUCUAAUUCAAAGAAAUCACCAUAGCUACCAAUUUUACUUUAACAUGUGAAACUUUCUGGAAAUAAAGUUUCAAAUGGGGGACUCAAGGAAACCAAAAUAUGACACCCCAAAAUAUAUUUGGCAUAUUUCGAAAUGUCUAUUUAGAGGGACUGCAGACACAGAAAUAGUUCUGAAAAGCUGUCCUUGUGGGGGAGAUUUGCAUCUGUAGAGAAAAUCUACAUUAGUCAAUAGCAGAUGCAGAAGCUUUCUCUGAGUUUCCCUUAUCCAAAUCUAGGAAAGAUUAACUCACAGGAGAAGGAGAAUGAAAGUUUAACACUUUUAAAGAUCUAACAGAGACUACCAUUUAUUCUUUCUGAGGGCUGCUACUUGUCAGGCUUCAUAUGCAUAGCAAGACACAUUUUGCUAACAACAUCUUUCCUCCCUCUCCCACCCUUAUCCUGCCACCGUAUUUCAAGCCUUUAUUCCUUUAUGUGCAAUAUAAAAACUUCAAUUAUCUGGCUUUUGUUUGAGUCUCAUAUGGAUAGUGACAGGAGACAGACAAAUUCCUAGGCAGACAAGGACGUGUCCCCAGAGAAAUCCAGUCUUCAAGCCAAAGACAGCCUGAAACCUGAAAAACAAGCUGCUGGUUCCACAGAGAGCCCAUGACCGGAGUGAGAACUUCCUCGAUGCCUUUUAACCAAUUGAAUGGUCCUUUUUCUAAGACCACUCAUGAACCAAUCAGCACACACUCCCCUAUUUUAUGAGCCCAUAAAAACCCCAGACUCAGCUGCAAAAAGGGCUACCCACUUUUGGGCUCCCUCUUGCAGCUGAUGGCAACCUGACUUCAGGGUGCCAUCUCACAUUUUAGAACUUUCCUUCUGUCACUUAAAAUUCUUCUCUGCCUUACUCAUUCUCUGGUGCCCAUGCACCUUAUUCCUCUUGGUUUUGGAACAAGAGCCCAGAACUCGCUGAGCUUCAGGCAGCAGGAACAAAUGAGUGUCAACCCUCCUGUUCGCAGAGCUGUGGGCAAUGGGAAUGAGAGAGCUGUAAUAUGCCCCCAUUCUCCUAGCUGUGGGCUCAAAGAAGUGAAGCCAUUGGGUACCAUUCCCUCCUGGCUGGCUUGCUGUACUACAAAAGCCGAAACAUUUCUUGGAGGCUCAGAGUUCAGGAAUCCCCAGGCGAAAGCUAUAACACCACCUGGGGCUCCAUGGUUGCUGGCAUCUCUGAGUUUUUGAGUGCCACCACAUUCCCCUUGUCUAAAUACAGGUGCCCAAUGUGGAAGCCACUCAUUGUACCCCUGGUCCAGCCAUGGGCUGAGCAUGGUGUCUCUGUUCUGGUGUGGGAUCUGGGGCAAGCUGUGAGCCGAGCACAGCCUGCCAGACUGAGUGGUUAGAGCAAGACCAGCAAGCCCAAGUGAGGCCCCAGAAAAAGAUCAUGGCAGCUGCAGGGACUUCCAGCAGGAGAAGUGGCACCAAAGGAAUCCUGUAACAAUAUUUUUGGAAUUCCUCUAUCCAUGUGGCUAUUAAUAAAUUUAUAUUUGUUCACAUUUUCUUCCAUUAAUCUAUUGUCAAUUCAUUUCAGCUGACUUAAACUCUUAGACUUUAGAGAGAAACUUUUAACUUUCUGACAGUAUAUAUAAUAUAUAUGUACACACAUAUACAUGGAUAUAUUUAUACACACACAUGCAUAGUUUUCUCUCAAAGCCAAUCCACAUAUAAUGGCCAUAAAAAGUUCACGUUCCUCUUAAAAAAUCAUAAUAUGGGGAAGCAAAUUAUUAUUGUAGUGACAUACUUCAUCUUCUCUGCUGCUCAAUAAGCAUACACUUCUAUUGUUGAGAGUAUUCUCAACUUAUGCAGUAAUAACUAUCUCCCACUAAAGAAACUAAAAAUGUAAGAUUUGAGUUUUUGUUACUAUUACAGCUAUUUAGUAGAAAAUAUGUAUAUAUCUUAGGUUCCUCAAUGAGAUGACCUAUCCUAUAAAUUGAAUAGAAGAGCAUGAGGAUCUAUUUAGACAAUAAGUGACAGCAGUGCUUCCACAUGCAAUUAGUUUCAGAGGCACCAAUGACAUUGCUCCUAGGGGUGGCUUCUAGUGCCAAUGUGAGCAAUGUUAGCAGGGCAAGCUAAAAUAACUUUUCUCAGGUGCUUUGGCAGAAAGAUCUUCACUGAACAAAUCUGUAUAAUUUUGGGCAUAGCUCCUGGCCACAUAUCUUCCAAGCCUGGUUUUCUAGCCUGUAAGAAAUUAAAUGGCUUUCUCGCAAUCACUUUAAUAAACUGAAUCUUGCUUAUAACUGGGUUGCUUUUAUUUGCUUUCAAAUAAAGAAACCUCACUGAUUAAAAAAAUACUACCAGUGGCGAUUAAAAUAACAGAUCGUCAGAGAUUGGAGGAAAUUCCCACUUGGUUGGGUAUAAAAAGAAGUAAAUAGUUAGUAUUAAGGAAUGAAACUUUGUGAACAUAUAACAAUAUGAAAGGCAUAAAAAAAGUGAGUGCUAAAGCUCCUUCUAGUGAUGCUGAGCAAUUUAAAGAGAAGAGGAGAUACAUCUUACAAAUUACUGCAUGAAACAAAACCAAACAACAUUCUCUGUUUGUGUGGAGAAAAACAAUUUCUUAUUUUUUUUGCAACUGUAAGGCUGUGAUGGUUACACACAAAAAAACAUAAUAUUUUUACUGUGGGUGGUAGGAUCAUUGUGACUGCAUAAUUUUGAAUUUGCCCCAAACUCCUCCUAAAAGCCAAAAGUCUAUUUGGCCAGCAAAAGAAAUAUUCCACAGAAAAUAUCUUCAAUAAAGUAGAAACUAAGAAAUGUGGCAUCACCAUGAGGCUCAAGACAUGCAGAUGGGGGUUGUAUGGCCAAACCACCAACAGCAGGAGCAAUGCAAAAUUAGCAGUUUGUUGACAUGUAUAGUAGGAAUAAAAGGGAAACUGACCCUGUCAGUUCUGGAACCUUAAUAUUGCAAAAUAAAUAAUUAAUUAAAAUAAAUUAAAACCCCAAAUGGAAAACAACAACAACAAAGCUUCAAGAAGAAACUUGAUUGAGUGAAUCCCAGGACAUCAGAAAUAUCUGGGAUACUUCUUCAUGAGCCCUAAGUUGUAAGUAAAGGCAGAGACAAAGAAACAACAUAGCCAUAAAUACUUAACAAUAGAAGAUCAAAUACUGCUGUGGUUUUCAGAAAUAUCCAAAAAUUUUCCCUCCCAUAAGGACUGAGUUUGAUUUAGAGGAGACAUAGGAAAAGGUAUGAAGUUGAGCAAAGCAAAAACACUAUGGAUAAGAAAGAGAAUAGGUGCAGAUUUCAAGAUACAAAAUACCCAGGAGAGUGAAAAUCCAGAUAUUACUGUACAGCAAAAUAAACAUCUAAAAGUAAGAAAAUUGUUUUUGAAAACAAGGACUAUAUGGCUCUAGGAAACAUAGAGCAGGAGGUAAGAAAACACAUUCCUGAAUCUCUGGGAGACAAAAAGAGGUCAUAAAAAGAUAUCAUGGUUUGAGUUCUCCACUGUAACAAUGUCAUACAAAAUGUAAAACCAAGGAAGUUUAAAAAAAAGAUACUCUAGUCCAUCACCACUGCUUGUAGAGCAACCCUCUCCUAGUGACUGAGAAAAACACUUCAAAAAAAAUUGUAAAAAACUGAAAUAGGACAAAUGCAUUAAAUAAGACAAUUGUUUUAAUACUAAAAGUUGUAAUUCCUAAUGGAAUGUGACAAUUAUUAAUAUCAGGGCACUAAAUAAACUAGUAACAUCUGUUAUUAAAAAACCCAGUAAGUAAUGAAAGGUAAAAUAGACAUGGACGAAAAGAAAAACAAAGAGAACAAAAACAGAUUUUAAUGUACUUCUCUCACACUAGACAUAAACAAUUAGGGUAUAUCAAACUCCAUAUUCCAAUAUAAGAACCUUCUCUACAAGGGCAUGAAAUCUGACCACAUGGUAGAAGACAAAGAAAACUUGAAUAAAUUGCAACAUUAUGAAUAUUAGGAAGUUUUUUCUGACCAUGGUGCAACCGCCGUGAGAUAUAUCUGAAUAGCAUCAGAGGCUGAUUUCCUUUCUCCUUUUAGAGGCUCAGAAGAGAGUUGGCUCAGUUUCAGUUGCCCUGAGGAUAUUUAUGUAGAAGCAAUAUUUUUGGCUAAUGUUAGUCUGGCUGGCAUGCAAGGCUGUUCUCCCUGCCCUGGGGUCUUAGUAUGAAGACUUUGGCUCUUGACUCGCAGAAUCACUAACAUCACUUCUGGGCCUGGAGAUUCUUUUACUGGUUCUUUGUUACUUAGAGAAACUAAGUAUUCCCCAAUCCCUUUUAGGAAACUCCACAAACAUUUUGUUGGAGUGGAGCUCAUAGUUGACCUUGGAGGCCUCUCAAUUAGAUGUCCAGGCAGCUGGAACCUUGUUCCAAGUGCAUUCAGCACAGUUAUGCUCAGCCUAUACUGUGAAAUGACAGGUUCACAGAACUGUGUGUGGUCUGCUACUUCUCUGCUGGUUUGCUUCCCCCCAAUAAACCCUACUUUAAAUUUGCAUUGUGAGUUACUAGCAGUAUGUAUCUAUGGUUAUCUGCCCCAUGACAGCAACAAAAUGAGAAAUUAAUACAAUAUUUUUAAAAAGAAAGAAAAGUGGUUCUUCUCUUGGAAGUGGUGUAGUCAAAGUAAAUAAUUCAUAAAGUAAAAAAAGAUUAUUGCAUUAGAAAACAAAUAAACAUGUAAAACUAAUAUAUAAAUUAAAUAUGGUUCACAGACAUCAACCGAAAAGACAAACUAUUUCAACCUAAUUAAAGAGAAAGUAGAGAAAAAACAGAUAUCUAGAAAUAAAAAAGGAAAGGAAGAAAUAACCCUUAAAGUGGAUUAAAUUUUGAAAAACUAAUAGGAGUAUCCAUUGCACAUUGCUAAGCAAACACAGUUGAAAACUUAGAUGAAAUGUAAGGUUUUCUAGGAAAAUAUAAUUUUGCCAAAGUGACCCACGAAGGAUAGAAACUCAAAACAGAAAAUUGUCAUGAAAGUAGAGUUUUACAUAAGUUUCUAUAAAACAAAGCAUUAGGCCUUGGCAGAGUUAAAUUUGACCAAACUUUUAAAGAAGCUCAACUAGACUAAAUGUUCUUAAAAAAUGCAGAGCAUAAAAAGUAGAAAAUACAUUAAAUUAUUUUUUGUGAAUCAAGUAUAAAGUUAAGGCAAAUGUUUAAUAAAUGUUUUUAACAAACUAUCUCGUGAAUAUCAUCGAACAAUCUCAAACUAUUAAUAAAUAAAUAUAUACUUUUUAAAACAAUUCAUCAUGAGCCUGUGAAAUUCAUUCAGAAAAACAAUUCUGACUUGACAUAGAGAAAUUUGUCAAUGUGAGUUGUAUUAAUUUAUCUAAGGAGAAAAAUGUAAAUAUGUUUAGAGAUGUUGAAAAAGCACUGAAGAAAAUUCAACAUCAAUUUUUUUAAAAAACCCUAAAAUAUUGGAUUUAAUAAUUUUUUUUUUUUUGAGAAAGGGUCUCACUCUGUCACCUAGGCUGUAUGGCAGUGGCACUAACAUGGUUCAAUGCUGCAGCCUCAAAUUCCUGUGUUCAAGUGAUCCUCCCACCUCAGCCUCCUAGUGUUGGGAUUAAAGGUGUGCUACCAUACCCAGCAAUAUAUUUCUUAAAUAUCAAAAAUAUAUAAUGAAAGUCAUCAAUGUACUUGGACUAAAGACAGGUUUAUUUCCUGCUGUAAUCAGAAACAAGUUAAAGAUGUCCACUAUUGCCACAACUAUAUAAUAAUAUAUGUUAGGGAUAAAAGGCAAUCAAAAUAAGCAUGAGAAAUGUAUUUGAGGAACAAGGAUUAGAAAGGAAGUAUAAUCAUUAUUUUUUUGGUUUAACAUAAUUGUGUAAACAUAUAACAAAGAAUUUUUUAAAAAACUACUUAAAGUAAAAGUAAAAUAACUUAGGCAAAUAGCAGGAUAUAAAAUUAAUAUAUAAAGUAAGACAAUGAAUUUUGUGUAUCAUAUAAUGCUAACUAAAUGUAUAAAACUAUGUAACUAUAUAUUAUAGCUAUGCAUGUACAUUUAUAACUAACAAAAGACAAAAUAAAUAAGAAGACUUCAUUUUUAUAGCCUAUAAAGCCAUAUAUAUAUAUGAGAGAGAGAGUCAUAAACCUAAGAAUGUGUAUGACCCAUCUAAGCAAUAUGUAAAACACCUUAGAAAGACAUUAAACUAGAAUUGAACAAAUAUUCAUGGAUAGAAGUAUUCAACACUGUUAAUGUGUCAAUUUUCUUUAAGUUAAUUUACAAAUUUAACAUGAUCUUGAUAAAAAUUACUGAAAAAAGUACAAUGUGGGAGAGUUAGUCCUAACACAAUUAUAUAUGAAGUAUUUUUUAAAAUUAAAAUAGUGUAGUUUUACUAGAAGAAGAGACAAACAAUGGAACAAGAUAGGAUGCCUACAAAUAAAUCCAAGUCAUUUUAGAAAUGUAAUAUAUAAAAUCAAGGCAGGCAUUGUAAAUAAGUAGAAAAGUUGGACUUUUUAAUAAAUGUUAGUUAUUUAACUGGAUAGCCAUUUAAAAAUAGCUUCAUGGAAUCAACUCUAAAGCCAUUUAAUGUAGAAAAACAAAGAGGAGGUUCUAGUUAGAAAAAGAAGCCCAACUAGACUGAAUCAAUUAAAAAACUUAGUAAAGCAGAUUCAUACAAGCUAAACACAGAAAAAUAAUAACUAAAUUGAAUACUAAAAAAUAAAAAUGGAAAAUAAUAUUUUUAAGAUGGUAAAAAAUUUAUAACCUUUAAAGAUUAAAUUUAGUAUUGACCAAAGACCAAUAUAAAUAUAGCCAGAAGUUGUACUAACUGAUGGAAAACUAAUCAUAACAAGUGAAAAGCACAUCCUAGGUUUACCAUUUUCUUGUAUGAGAAAAUAGUAUCGCUAUAGUCAUUCAACUAAAUUUGAAUACAGUGUAUAAAUUUAAAACAAUUCUAAUUAAAAUUCCCUCUUUUAAAAACAGCAUCCAUUUCUCUUUGAAGUUAUAUGGAAGGAUAGAUGCUGGCAAAUAGUAAAGAAAUAUGUGAAGAAAUAGAAUGAUGAAUGGUUAGUGUCCUUUUCAGCUAUCAGAACACAGAUCUAAAAAGCUAGUGACCUGUGGAACUGACUAUACAAUCCAGAAAUAGAUCCCCUAAAAUGAGAUUCUAAUAUAUAGGAAAUGUAGUUUCUAAUAUAUGGCAAAAGAAUAGUUUAUUUAGAAAUAAAAUAAUAUAGGUUAUCCAUUUGAAAUAUAAUAAAAUUGGAGCAGCAUUUAAACCAGUUACAAAAUCAGUUCCAGAUACAUCAAAACAGGAAGCAAAAACCAGUGAGGCAUAUUCCACGGUAGGAAAUGCUAAUUGCACAAAAUUCAUAAAAGAAAAAUGAACAUUUCACCAUGUAGACAUGAAAAGCCUUUGUGUGGCAAAACACGCCAUACGUAGUGAGUAAAAAGACCAGAUAUUUCAAAAGGUGCAAUGACAAUAUCAAAUAAAUGUGCUAUAUUUAUAAUAAAAGUGAUAAUCUAUAAUCUGUACAUAGAUAUACAAGCCAAUGAAAAGAUGGGCAAAUCACAGAGGAGCAACUGGUUAAGAAACAUAAAUAGAUGCAUAAAGUCACUAGAAUUUAAAAAAAUGGAAUUGAAAUUAAUGAGAUAUUUCUUUAUAUCUUCUAGUUUAGAAAAAAAGUUUAAAAUGAAUGUAGUUAAUAAUGUAGGGGAAAAUGCACUAUCAUAUACCCUUAAUAGAAACUACAAUUUUAUACUUCUUUAUGAAGGUAUUCUUGCAAAAUUUUUUAAGAAAAAACAAUGCUUAUUUCUUUAACACAAAAAUCUCACUUGUGGAAACCUAUCCUUUAGAAAUAAAUGCCCCAGUUGAAACGGUUAUAUAUUCAAGGAUUUUUGCCUAUUAUGGCAAAAUAACUGAAAUAAAAUGGAUGAUUAGUGAUGAGAAGUAAUUAAAUACAUUGUAUAUUACAUAUCCACCAUGGAAUAAUAUAUAACUAUUAACAAGAAUGAAUUAGGACUCAACAAGUAAACAGACUGGGCAUGGGGGUAGGUCAGAAUUUGCAAAAUCUUAUAACGAAAAGCAAAAUGCAAAACCGUGUGUAAAAUAUAACUCUGGUUUGAAAAGAGCAAUUAUGACAAAGCCUAUUACAAUAUACCUGUGUAUAAUAAGUCUGUAUCUACAUCUUAUCUAGAUAAUAUGAACAUGGGGGUAAAUUAAGGAAGGAUACCCACUAACUUAUUAACUUGUGUUAUCUGAAAGAAUUGAGAAUGGGAUUAUGCAGGUGAAUGGGGAAACUGUCAAAUUAGUCAUAAUCUCAUGUGGUAAUUAUGUGGUUAAUACCAACAUAUGCACAUUAAAAAAAUGAGAAAUCGUUUUCUCAAAAAACGAAAAACAAGUGGCCAACAGGUAUAUAAAAAAUGCUCAGCGUCGUUAAUCAUUAGGGAAAUGGAAAUCAAAACCACAAUGAGAUAUCAUUCUCACCCCUUAAAAUGGCUAUUAUCAAAAAGACAAAAAAUUACAAAUGCUGGCAAGGAUGUGAAGAAAAGGGAACUCUUAUACACUGUUAGUGGGAAUAUAAAUUAGUACAGAUAUUAUGAAAAACAACAUGGAGAUUUCUCAAAAAACUAAAAAUAGGACUAAUUUGUUGAGAGUUGUUAUCAUAAAGGCACAUUGAAUUUUCUCAAGUGCUUUUUUUCUUUUUUACAUCUAUUGAGAUAAACCUAUGGCUUUUGUCCUUCAUUCUGUUCAUAUGAUGUACACAUUUCUUGAUUUGCAUAUGUUAAAACCAUUCUUACAUCCCUGGGAUAAACAGCAGUUCACCAUGAUGCAUUAAAUUUUUGGUAUGUUGUUGGACUUAGUUUCCUAGCAUUUCAUUGAGGAUUUUUGCAUCUAUGUUUGUCAGAAAUAUUGGCCUGUAGUUUUCUGUUAUUGUUGUGUCCCUACCUGGUUUUGGUAUCAGGAUACUACUGACAAGGUAAAUAAGUUAUACAGAAUUCCCUCCUAUUCAAUUUUCUGGAAAGGUUUAAGAAAAAUUGGUGUUAGUUCUUUAAAAUUUUGGGAGGAUUCAGCAUUAAAGCUAUUCAGUCCUGGGCUUUUCUCUGUUGAAAUAUUUUUUAUUACUGAUUCCAUCUUGUUACUCAUUAUUAGUCUGUUCAAUUUUAUGUUUCUUCCUGGUUCAAUCCUGGUAGGCUAUAUGUGUCUAGGAGUUUUUCCAUUUGCUCUAGGUUUUUGAAUUUGUUAACAUAUGAUUAUCCAUAAUAGAUUCCAGUAAUCCGUUUUAUUUCUGUAGGAUCAGUAAUGAUGUCUCCUUUUUUUAAUUUCUAAUUUCAUUUAUUUGAGUCUUUUCUCUUUUUUCUUUGUAAUUUUAAUAGUAAUUUGUCAAUUUUGUCCUUUUCAAAAAAUAAUUUAUUUUAUUGAUUCUUUGUACUAUUUUAUAGUCUCCACUUCACUUAGUUCUGCUCUAAUUUUUUAUAUUUCUUUUUAUCUCCUAAACUUUGGAUUGGAUUAUUCUUGCUUUUAUCGUUCCUUGAGGUGCAUUGUUAGAUUAUUUAAUUGAAAUCCUUCUAAUUUUUAACAUAGGCCAUUAUUGCUAUAAAAUUCCCUCUCAGCACUACUUUUGCUUUAUAUUAUAGGUUUGGGUAUAUUGUGUUUCCUUUUCCUUUUCAUUUUCUUCAAGAAUUUUAAAAAUUUCUUUCUUUUUUUUUUUUUUUUUUUGAGAUGGAGUCUUGCUCCUUCAUCCAAGCUGGAGUGCAGUGGUGCGGUCUCAGCUCACUGCAACCUCCGCCACCUUGGUUCAAGUGAUUCUCCUGCCUCAGCCUCCAGAAUAGCUGGGGUUACAGGUGCACAUCACCAUGCCUGAUAAAAUUUAUUUCUUAAUUUCUUCAUUGACCCUUUUGUCAUUCAGGAGCAUAUUGUUUAAUUUCCAUGUAUUUGUACAGUUUCUAAAAUUUGUCUAGCUAUGAUUUCUAGUUCUAGUCUAUGUAGUCUGAGAAUAUAUUUCAUGUAAUUUCUAUUUUAAAAAAUUGUUGAGACUUAUUUUGUGGCCUAAUGUAUGAUCUAUCCUGGAGAAUGUUCCAUGUGCUUUCGAGAAGAAUGUGUAUUCUGUAGCUGUUGGAUGAAAUGUGUUAAUAUAUGUUAGGUCCAUUUGGCCUAUAGUUUAGAUUAGGUCCAAUAUUUCUUUGUUGAUUUUCUGUUUACAUUGUCUGUCCAAUGCUAAAUACAGGAUGUUGUAGUCCACAACUAUUAUUGUAUUAGAAACAAUUUCUCUCUUUAGCUUUAACAAUACAUGCUUAUAUACCUGGGUGUUCUAGUUUUAAGUGCAUAUAUAUUUACCAUUAUUAAAUUAUCUUGCUGAAUUGACUCUUCUAUCUAUAUAAUGACUUAUUUUGUCUUUUUUUGUAUUUUUAGACUUAAAUUUUGUUAUAUCUAAGUAUAGCUAUUCUCAGAUGCUUUUCAUUUCCGUUUUUGUGCAUUUUUUUUUACAUUCCUCCACUUUUAGUCUAUGUGUAUCUUUACAGAUGAAAUGAGGUUUUCAGGGCAGCAUGUAAUUAGGUCUUGUUUUUUUGCUUAAUCCAUUCAGCCAGUCCAUAAUUUUUAAUUGUGGAAUUUAAAUUGUUUACGUUCAAGUUUGUUAUAGAUAGGUAAAAACUUCUGUCAUUUUGAUAUCUUUUUCUUUUUUUGGUUUUUAAUAUGUAAUUCUUUUAUUUUGUAAAGGUAACAAAAUAUACGGAACAAAAUUUUCCCUUUUUAAAACUAAUGUUACAAAUGUUACAAAUCCAUAUUAUCACUUGUAUAAUAUUAUAAUAUAUAUAAUACUAUAUAACUGAUCAUUAAUUAGGUGUAUGAGUCCAACAAUGUAUUCUUCUAACUGUUAAGCAAAAAACAAAAUAAAUUUUUUUUUCUUCAAAUUUAUCCGAG
rnacentral:lncRNA from 10 species